UACAGAGGUCUCAAGCGUUGUUCGGAUUCAUUGGGCGUAAAGGGUGCGUAGGCGGCGCGGUAAGUCGGAUGUGAAAUCUCGGAGCUUAACUCCGAAACUGCAUUCGAUACUGCCGUGCUUGAGGACUGGAGAGGAGACUGGAAUUUACGGUGUAGCGGUGAAAUGCGUAGAUAUCGUAAGGAAGACCAGUGGCGAAGGCGGGGUCUCUGGACAGUUCCUGACGCUGAGGCACGAAGGCCAGGGGAGCAAACGGG
rnacentral:rRNA from 1 species